UUACGGGAGGCAGCAGUGGGGAAUCUUGCGCAAUGGGGGAAACCCUGACGCAGCAACGCCGCGUGGGUGAUGAAGGCCUUCGGGUCGUAAAGCCCUGUCAGGUGGGAAGAACCUUGUUGAUGCCAAUACCAUCAACACUUGACGGUACCACCGGAGGAAGCACCGGCUAACUCCGUGCCAGCAGCCGCGGUAAUACGGAGGGUGCAAGCGUUGUUCGGAAUUAUUGGGCGUAAAGCGCGUGUAGGCGGUCACGUAAGUCAGAUGUGAAAUCCUUCCGCUUAACGGGAGAAGUGCAUUUGAAACUACAUGACUAGAGUACGGGAGAGGAGAGUGGAAUUCCCGGUGUAGAGGUGAAAUUCGUAGAUAUCGGGAGGAACACCAGUGGCGAAGGCGGCUCUCUGGAUCGAUACUGACGCUGAGACGCGAAAGCGUGGGGAGCAAACAGGAUUAGAUACCCUGGU
rnacentral:rRNA from 1 species